GCCCCACUAGUCUGGGAUACCACUUGGAAACAGGUGCUAAUACCGGAUAAGAAAGCGGAUCGCAUGAUCAGCUUUUAAAAGGCGGCGUAAGCUGUCGCUAUGGGAUGGCCCCGCGGUGCAUUAGCUAGUUGGUAAGGUAAAGGCUUACCAAGGCGAUGAUGCAUAGCCGAGUUGAGAGACUGAUCGGCCACAUUGGGACUGAGACACGGCCCAAACUCCUACGGGAGGCAGCAGAG
rnacentral:rRNA from 1 species